rnacentral:lncRNA from 1 species
GCGAUUGUAACUCCUUGGGCAGCUACCCCCUCUGGCACAGACGAGGUGGACCCAACCAUAGCCGUAGCCGAACUCUCGGCCACCGAGGUCUUCACGACGGGGCUUGGGGUAGUUUUCUUUUUUGGGGGCGCGGAGGUGUCCCCCGAAGCUUUUCUCUUCGGCCUUUUGGCCACGACUGUUGAGUCCGAGGUGAUGAUGUCAGAUACUCUCACCACUGCACAAGAAACAAAUAUUAUUAUUUAGAAUAGCCAAAGUAAUGAGAAAGUUAUGAAAGAAAAUUUACAGGAUUUUUUAAGUCUAAUAAAGAAUAAUGGCGUCUUCUUGGGAUCAAUGAUAGCUCGGCUAAUCCCCCCAUCGACCAGAAUUGUCUCGGGGUAAUCCUAACUAUUGAUCCGGACGCCCAGCCGCAUUAUCUUCUGAAAGUUCUUUUCGUCCAAAUCCCCUAGGGAGGGGUCACUUUUGGCAUUCACGGACCUCCACCAGAAACCCCACGGGAAGUCCCCAGCCGAGACGAAGAUGAAGUCAUGCUUCCAAUUCUUAAUCGAGGUGGGAGCAUCGACCACGAGUUUCGGGAUUGUGUUGUUUCGAUUGCAGAAGUAAAACCAUCCCUUGUCGCUCCCAUGCCUCUUGAUGGUGUAAAAUCGGCGAAAGAGUUGGACCGUGGGGGUCACCUCUUAUUCUCAGCAGAGCAUUUCAAACCCCACCAAGAUUCGGAUCGCGUUCGGAACGAGUUGAGUGAUCCGAACUGCAAAAUACCGGAGUGCGUCUCGAAAAAACCUUAUGGUAGGCAUCCUAAACCCGGCCUCUAGUUGCUCCACAUAGACAGCUACGGAGCCCAUUGGGGGCUUCUCGGCUGACUGGCUCGGCCCAGGUGUCUCAAUGCCAUACCCCUCCCUAAAAGGGUACUUUCGCAUUAUCUGAGUGGCUUCGGCCAAAUCGACCCAACUUCAGAAAGACGGAAGCUGCCCAAAAUCUAUUGCGGAUGGGUUUCCGGAGACAACUGGCUCCACCACCCCCUCGUCAUGAGGGAUCUCAAUUCCGAGUUUGUCAUUAUAAAGAGUCUCGGAAUCCUCCUCGUUCGUCUCGGGAGACCCCUCUGCUUGAGGAGUCUCGACAGUUUCCUCCCCAUGACUAGACGAAGCCUUUUCCCCGGAGUUAGACGUAGUCUUCUCUUCUGAUGGGUCGAGGCCCUCUUCGGCUUAAUAACUCAGUUUCACCAUUUGUUUAUACAUUUUAGCUACUUUAGCCAUAUAUGUAAGGAUGAGAUGAAGAAGGAAGAUACUUACUGUUUACUAGUGUG